GCCGGCAGCUAGCUCUCUGCAACUCUCACAUGGUCACCCACUGAAGCUAAGCAGGGCUGCGCCUGAUUAGUACCUGGAUGGGUGACCACAUGGGAAAGCUAGGUUGCUGCCGGAA
rfam:Danio rerio chromosome 3, GRCz11 reference primary assembly.